CCCCGUAGGCGCUACCAUGCAGUCGAGCGGAUGACGGGAGCUUGCUCCUUGAUUCAUCGGCGGACGGGCGCAUUAAUGCCUAGGAAUCUGCCUGGUAGUGGGGGACAACGUUUCGAAAGGAACGCUAAUACCGCAUACGUCCUACGGGAGAAAGUGGGGGAUCUUCGGACCUCACGCUAUCAGAUGAGCCUAGGUCGGAUUAGCUAGUUGGUGAGGUAAUGGCUCACCAAGGCGACGAUCCGUAACUGGUCUGAGAGGAUGAUCAGUCACACUGGAACUGAGACACGGUCCAGACUCCUACGGGAGGCAGCAGUGGGGAAUAUUGGACAAUGGGCGAAAGCCUGAUCCAGCCAUGCCGCGUGUGUGAAGAAGGUCUUCGGAUUGUAAAGCACUUUAAGUUGGGAGGAAGGGCAGUAAGCUAAUACCUUGCUGUUUUGACGUUACCGACAGAAUAAGCACCGGCUAACUCUGUGCCAGCAGCCGCGGUAAUACAGAGGGUGCAAGCGUUAAUCGGAAUUACUGGGCGUAAAGCGCGCGUAGGUGGUUCGUUAAGUUGGAUGUGAAAGCCCCGGGCUCUACCUGGUAACUGCAUCCCAAUUUGGCGAGCUAGAUUACGGGCGUAGGUUGGGGGACUUAUCUGAUAGGCGACGAACUGCGAAUUUAACAUAUGUACACCAUUCACUUCAGGGCCUCCUGCCUUGUUAUCUGACCUGAUUUUGCCAUCCAUUAGUGUAUUCGUUCACUUGAU
rnacentral:rRNA from 1 species